CCUACGGGGGGCAGCAGUGGGGAAUAUUGGGCAAUGGGCGCAAGCCUGACCCAGCAACGCCGCGUGAAGGAAGAAGGCUUUAGGGUUGUAAACUUCUUUUCUUCGGGACGAAGAAAGUGACGGUACCUCAGGAAUAAGCCACGGCUAACUACGUGCCAGCCGCCGCGGUAAUACGUAGGUGGCAAGCGUUAUACGGAUUUAUUGGGUGUAAAGGGCGUGUAGGCGGGAAAGUAAGUCAGAUGUGAAAACUCAGUGCUCAACCCUGGGCCUGCAGUUGAAACUGUUGUUCUUGAGUGCUGGAGAGGCAAUCGGAAUGCCGGGUGUAGCGGUGAAAUGCGUAGAUAUACGGAGGAACACCAGUGGCGAAGGCGGAUUGCUGGACAGUAACUGACGCUGAGGCGCGAAAGCGUGGGGAGCAAACAGGAUUAGAUACCCUUGUAGUC
rnacentral:rRNA from 1 species